rnacentral:tRNA from 1 species
GGCCCGUUGGUCAAGUGGUUAAGACACCGCCCUUUCACGGCGGUAACACGGGUUCGAAUCCCGUCAGGGGCACCA